rfam:Glossina morsitans morsitans, isolate Yale, WGS project CCAG01000000 data, contig: ctg10012151
AAGUGGGGGUAGUUUAUAGUACGUAAGCGCCAUGGAUGGCGAAUCGUGCAUGUUGCUACUAAGAACCAUCACUAUGUUUUGAAGAUUUUCUACUUCC